UGGGGAAUAUUGGACAAUGGGCGAAAGCCUGAUCCAGCCAUGCCGCGUGUGUGAAGAAGGUCUUCGGAUUGUAAAGCACUUUAAGUUGGGAGGAAGGGCAGUUACCUAAUACGUGAUUGUUUUGACGUUACCGACAGAAUAAGCACCGGCUAACUCUGUGCCAGCAGCCGCGGUAAUACAGAGGGUGCAAGCGUUAAUCGGAAUUACUGGGCGUAAAGCGCGCGUAGGUGGUUAGUUAAGUUGGAUGUGAAAUCCCCGGGCUCAACCUGGGAACUGCAUCCAAAACUGGCAAGCUAGAGUACGGUAGAGGGUGGUGGAAUUUCCUGUGUAGCGGUGAAAUGCGUAGAUAUAGGAAGGAACACCAGUUGGCGAAGGCGACCACCUGGACUGAUACUGACACUGAGGUGCGAAAGCGUGGGG
rnacentral:rRNA from 1 species